ensembl:snRNA U4 U4 spliceosomal RNA
AGCUUUGCACAGUGGCAGCAUCGUAGCCAAUGAGGUUUAUCUGAGGCGCAAUUAUUGCUAAUUGAAAACUUUUCUCAAUACCCUGCCAUGACGACUUGAAAUAUAGUCAGCAUUGGCAAUUUUUGACAGUCUCUACAGUUUAAAAAAAAGA